GACGAACGCUGGCGGCGUGCCUAAUACAUGCAAGUAGGACGCAGUUGCGAACGGGUGAGUAACGCGUAGGCAACUACAUAAUAGAGGGGGAUAAAUAUUGGAAACGAUAGCUAAUACCGCAUACUAGUAGAUGGACCUGCGUUGUAUUAGCUAGUAGGUAGGGUACUGGCCUACCUAGGUAACGAUACAUAGCCGACUGUAGAGGGUGAUCGGGCACACUGGGACUGAGACACGGCCCAGGCUCCUACGGGAGGCAGAAGUAGGGAAUCUUCGGAAAUGGGGGGAACCCUGGCCGAGCAACGCCGCGUGAGUUGAGAAGGUUUUCGGAUCGUAAAGCUCUGUUGUUAAGGAAGCGUUACUUAACCAGAAAGGGACGGCUAACUACGUGCCAGCCGCCGCGGUAAUAC
rnacentral:rRNA from 1 species